rnacentral:rRNA from 1 species
GACGAACGCUGGUGGCGUGCUUAACACAUGCAAGUCGAACGGAAAGGCCCUGCUUUUGUGGGGUGCUCGAGUGGCGAACGGGUGAGUAACACGUGAGUAACCUGCCCUUGACUUUGGGAUAACUUCAGGAAACUGGGGCUAAUACCGGAUAGGAGCUCCUGCUGCAUGGUGGGGGUUGGAAAGUUUCGGCGGUUGGGGAUGGACUCGCGGCUUAUCAGCUUGUUGGUGGGGUAGUGGCUUACCAAGGCUUUGACGGGUAGCCGGCCUGAGAGGGUGACCGGCCACAUUGGGACUGAGAUACGGCCCAGACUCCUACGGGAGGCAGCAGUGGGGAAUAUUGCACAAUGGGCGGAAGCCUGAUGCAGCAACGCCGCGUGCGGGAUGACGGCCUUCGGGUUGUAAACCGCUUUCGCCUGUGACGAAGCGUGAGUGACGGUAAUGGGUAAAGAAGCACCGGCUAACUACGUGCCAGCAGCCGCGGUGAUACGUAGGGUGCGAGCGUUGUCCGGAUUUAUUGGGCGUAAAGGGCUCGUAGGUGGUUGAUCGCGUCGGAAGUGUAAUCUUGGGGCUUAACCCUGAGCGUGCUUUCGAUACGGGUUGACUUGAGGAAGGUAGGGGAGAAUGGAAUUCCUGGUGGAGCGGUGGAAUGCGCAGAUAUCAGGAGGAACACCAGUGGCGAAGGCGGUUCUCUGGGCCUUUCCUGACGCUGAGGAGCGAAAGCGUGGGGAGCGAACAGGCUUAGAUACCCUGGUAGUCCACGCUGUAAACGGUGGGUACUAGGUGUGGGGUCCAUUCCACGGGUUCCGUGCCGUAGCUAACGCUUUAAGUACCCCGCCUGGGGAGUACGGCCGCAAGGCUAAAACUCAAAGGAAUUGACGGGGCCCCGCACAAGCGGCGGAGCAUGCGGAUUAAUUCGAUGCAACGCGUAGAACCUUACCUGGGUUUGACAUGGAUCGGGAGUGCUCAGAGAUGGGUGUGCCUCUUUUGGGGUCGGUUCACAGGUGGUGCAUGGCUGUCGUCAGCUCGUGUCGUGAGAUGUUGGGUUAAGUCCCGCAACGAGCGCAACCCUUGUUCACUGUUGCCAGCACGUUAUGGUGGGGACUCAGUGGAGACCGCCGGGGUCAACUCGGAGGAAGGUGGGGAUGACGCCAAGUCAUCAUGCCCCUUAUGUCCAGGGCUUCACGCAUGCUACAAUGGCUGGUACAGAGAGUGGCGAGCCUGUGAGGGUGAGCGAAUCUCGGAAAGCCGGUCUCAGUUCGGAUUGGGGUCUGCAACUCGACCUCAUGAAGUCGGAGUCGCUAGUAAUCGCAGAUCAGCAACGCUGCGGUGAAUACGUUCCCGGGGCU